rnacentral:rRNA from 1 species
UACGAGGGGUGCAAGCGUUGCUCGGAAUUAUUGGGCGUAAAGGGUAGGUAGGUGGUCUCAUUUGUCUGGGGUGAAAGCCUUGAGCUUAACUCAAGAAGUGCCCCGGAAACGGUGAGACUGGAGUCCCGGAGAGGGUCGUGGAAUUCCCGGUGUAGCGGUGAAAUGCGUAGAGAUCGGGAGGAACACCGGUGGCGAAGGCGGUUCUCUGGGCCUGUACUGACGCUGAGGAGCGAAAGCGUGGGGAGCGAACAGG